rnacentral:lncRNA from 1 species
AUUGUAUUUGUGGUCCAUAUAAACAAAAAAGAAAUUUGCACAAAUGUCUCCUGAAUUUUUUUGGGAUGUGUUUAUUUACCACCCAAACUAAAUUUUUUGUUCAAUUUUCAAUUAGACUUUCAUUUUGUGCUAAUUGACAUCUCUGUUAUGUUCUGCUAGCUAUGUCGUUAAGUUUAAGGGUGAUUUUGUCGAUUUUCAUCGAAAAAAAACCUUAAUCAAAAUCUUUAAAUUUAUUUAAACAAUUAAAGAAGGCAAAGGGGAUGAAAAUUAGAAAAUACAUUGCAAAAGGUCGAGAUAGAGAGAAUGAGUCAGGAAAGGAGAGAAAGAUGAAGUGGAGGAGGGAUAUAGACAAGUGGAGCUAGGGAGGAAAAUACAGGAAACACAUAGGAGGAGAAAAGACUAACUUAGGUUGUGUUGUGUGGGGGUCAUAGAAAUGAGAUUAUGAGCCGCGAGGUUUGAGAUCGGGUUGGGGUCUGAAGGCUCCGAAUUGUGAGAUCAGGUUGGUAUUUAAUACGAGCGUUGUGGAAUUUGAAUAGUGGUAGUGGCGAUUGUGCUGUUGAGAACAUGGAUGGUUAAUAUCCAGCAAGUGGAGGCGUGGGGGUGGAGGAAGGUCACUAAGUUUCAUUAUCUUUCUUCUUCUCUUUUCAAUAUUUUAUUUUGUUAUUUUAGAAAUUUUCAUUUAGUUUGAGAUUUCAUUAAAUUAAAAGAUUAAAUUAGAUCUGACCUACAUGAAGAAGAUGUUUUAACGAAAAAUUUCAAUAGAAAUCAUCAAAGGUGGUACAUUGGCACCAAAAUUGAAGCCUAGGUGGUGUUGGACAAAAGAUUUAGUUUAGGUGGCAAAUGCAGACACUUCAAAUAAUUAGAUGGUGUUUGUGCAAAUUCCCCAAAACAAAAUAUCAAACGGUCACAUUCACUUGACCAAAUUGCCUACUUUGACCAAUCUUACAAUUGACUGGCCCUGAUCUUUUCUAGGUCACACUAAUUGGAGUAUUGGACUAGGCUUCAAUUUCAACCAAUACCGACAUAUUAAGGGCCAAACUAUGAGUGAGUUAAGGGUUUGAACACCUUCAAAUAUAUUUGAGCAUGCACAAACCUACGGGUGGGAAAAGUAUGAGUACGUAAUCGAUGUGUUAUAAUAUAUAUUACACGACAAUCUUUGCAUAGUAUGAGUACAUGGUGUAAUAGUAAGAACACGCAGUGUUCAUACUACAAACGAAUUGUUAACACUAUCCAAAAUAGUGACUGUUUGUACCAUACUUAGGGCAUCCGUAUUUAGACUUCGUAUAAAUACUCGGGGGAUUCAAGUGUAAUUAUGUAAUAAAUGAAUGGGCAAAUAUGUAAUAAGUGAUGAGCCCUUAUUCUAUAAAAGGACUCCUCACUCUCCUCAUUAGAGGAGGUCAAGGUUUAGGUCAUGGGAAGAGAGCACACAUAAAAUAGGCUAGAGAGCACACUGCCUCUAGCCUUCUUGUAUAUUCAUCAUUCAAAGUGAAACAAUAUCAACAUUAAUGUGGACGUAGCCCAAACAUUGGGGUGAACCACGAUACAUCUUGUGUUCUUGACCAAUCUUACAAUUGACUGGCCCUGAUCUUUUCUAGGUCACACUAAUUGGAGUGUUGGACUAGGCUUCAAUUUCAACCAGUACCGACAUAUUAAAGGCCAAACUAUGAGUGAGUUAAGGGUUUGAACACCUUCAAAUAAAUUUGAGCAUGCACAAACCUACGGGUGGGAAAAGUAUGAGUACGUAAUCGAUGUGUUAUAAUAUAUAUUACACGACAAUCUUUGCAUAGUAUGAGUACAUGGUGUAAUAGUAAGAACACGCAGUGUUUAGACUACAAACGAAUUGUUAACACUAUCCAAAAUAGUGACUGUUUGAAAUGUUAACAACAACGAGCGAUUGUCUUUAAUUGGUAGCUCAAGUGGGCAACAAUCCACCCGAUAUUAAGCAUAUUAAUUUUCUCACUCUCCUCAUUUUGGCUCGUGUCGCUCAUUUCACCAUAUCUUCUCUCCUUUUACUCACUACAUUUUGGAUCGUGAGUUAAGAUGUUUUGUAGUUAGUUGUUUAUCUGCACAUGCUAAUGUUAAUUCAUACAACUUUUGCAAUACAUUAACGAUUAUAAAUUAGUGACCGGUAAACGGGUUAUGAACAACGCUUUAAUUAGACUAGGAGUAGAAGUAAUAGUGUAAUGAGAAAUGUGAAUGAGACUUUCUUAACGUGAAAUCUUUAUGAACUCUCUAUCACCUCACUUUACAGUUUAACGUCAAUUUUAAAACCAACAUUAUAAAAUAUUAUGUCAUCAAUAUAAAAUAACAGAUAAUCUAUAAAGAAUUACACUUUGAAGAAUCUUUUUACCCGUUAUCGUGUAAUUAGCCACUAAACCGUAGCCUAGGUUACCUAGGUUGGAAGCGUGGCGCAUAAAAAGUCGAAGAUGAGAAGGUAAAUGAUUUGAUUAUGGAUGGGGGGGGCAGUUUAAAGCGGCGGGGCCGGGGUUGCAUGCCGGCGUGCGGUGGCUAUGGGAAGUCUCUCUCUCUCUCUCUCUCUCUCUCUCUCUCUCUCUCUUUCUUUGAGUUUGCAGCCAGUACUUUUGUCUUUUGUCAGUACUCUGUGUGUGUGUGUGUGUGUCAGUGUGUGUGAUGUGUGACGUGUGAGUUGAGUUUGUUAGGGUGUUGGUAGGUACUUUGGAUUGGGGGUGCACUGUAUGAAGCGUGAUCCGCCAUGCACUGACUGGACUAGUGUCCAGUGUUCUGUUUGGGAGGUUCACGUGACAAAUGCUGGGGGGGGACCGGGUGGUGAUCCAAAUAUGUAUGACUGACAGCUGACUGACAUGAUUCACAUCCAAGCAGAGGAGGUGGUGAGCUUUUUGUGGGGCCCCUAAAUAUCUGCUGUGCACCACCUUCCAAAUUAGCUAGUCUUUCGGCUUCUCACUG